CAUUUUCUUUCUUUCUUCUUUUCUUUCUAUUCCCUCCUUUUCCUUUUCUUUUUUCUUUUCUUUCCUUUUCUUCCUUUUUGCCUAAUUGCUCUAUCUAGAAAUUCCAAGACUACGUGGUAUGGAAGUGGUGAAAGUGGGCAUUCUUGUCUUGUUCCUGAUCUUCGAGGAAAAAGUUUGUCUUGCAUCAUUGAGUAUGAUUUAACUAUGGGGUUUUCAUAUAUGGCUAUCAUAUUGUGGUAGUUUUCUUCUAUUUCUAGUUUGCUGCAUUUUUUUUUUAAUCAUGAAAGCGUGUUGAACUUUUUCAAAAGCUUUUUGUGCAUUGACUAAGAUGAUCAUGUGGUUUUUGUCUGUCAUUCAGUUACUGUUGUGCAUUACACUUACCGAUUCUGGGAUUGAUUUUAAAGCAUUCAUUCCUCCAAACACACUCCCAGGGUUAGGUCUCUUACCUCUGCAUGUAUUUAGGAAAAAGACAUAAUAUGACCAACUUCCCAACUAUUAAACCAUGUUUAGGAUAAA
rnacentral:lncRNA from 10 species